UGAAUACGAGACGCUAAGGCGUCGAAGUAGUGUAUGUCAUACUUCCAAGAAAAGCUUGCACUGUCAUAGAUAAAAAACGCCUGUACCAUAACCGACACAGGUGGGUAGGUAGAGUAUACUAAGGGGCGCGAGAUAACUCUCUCUAAGGAACUCGGCAAAAUAACUCCGUAACUUCGGGAGAAGGAGUGCCUUAUUCGUAAGGUUGCAAUAACAAGAUCCAAGCAACUGUUUAUCAAAAACACAGGUCUCCGCUAAGUCGUAAGACGAUGUAUGGGGGCUGACGCCUGCCCAGUGCCAGAAGGUUAAAGAAGUUGGUUAGCAUUUGCGAAGCUAGUGACUGAAGCCCUGGUGAACGGCGGCCGUAACAAUAACGGUCCUAAGGUAGCGAAAUUCCUUGUCGGGUAAGUUCCGACCCGCACGAAAGGCGUAAUGAUUUGGAUACUGUCUCGGAGAGGGGCUCGGUGAAAUAGACUUGUCUGUGAAGAUGCGGACUACCUGCACCAGGACAGAAAGACCCUAUGAAGCUUUACUGUAACUUGAAAUUGAAAUUGGACUUUAUUCGCGCAGUAUAGGUGGGAGGCGUUGAUUAUAAUCUUGCGGGAUUAUUGGAGCCAUCAGUGAGAUACCACUCUUGUAAUGUUAGAUUUCUAACUUUGAAUCAUUAUCUGGUCAAAGGACAGUUUCAGGCGGGCAGUUUGACUGGGGCGGUCGCCUCCCAAACGGUAACGGAGGCGUACAAAGGUUUCCUCUGAACGGUUAGAAAUCGUAUCUAGAGUGUAAAGGCAUAAGGAAGCUUGACUGUGAGACCUACAAGUCGAGCAGGGACGAAAGUCGGUCUUAGUGAUCUGACGGUACUGAGUGGAAAGGCCGUCACUCAACGGAUAAAAGUUACUCUAGGAUAACAGGCUGAUCUCCCCCAAGAGUUCACAUCGACGGGGAGGUUUGGCACCUCGAUGUCGGCUCAUCGCAUCCUGGGGCGGUAGUACGUCCCAAGGGUUGGGCUGUUCGCCCAUGAAAGCGGUACGCGAGCUGGGUUCAGAACGUCGUGAGACAGUUCGGUCCAUAUCCGGUGUAGGCGUUAGAAUAUUGAGAGGAGCCUUCUUUAGUACGAGAGGACCGAGAAGGACAUACCUCUGGUGUACAGUUAUCGUGCCAACGGUAAACGCUGGGUAGCUAUGUAUGGAGUGGAUAACCGCUGAAAGCAUCUAAGUGGGAAGCCCACCUCAAGAUAAGUAUUCCC
rnacentral:rRNA from 1 species